UACGUAGGGGGCUAGCGUUGUCCGGAAUCAUUGGGCGUAAAGCGCGUGUAGGCGGUUCGGUAAGUCCGCUGUGAAAGUCGGGGGCUCAACCCUGGAAGGCCGGUGGAAACUGUCGGGCUAGAGUCCGGAAGAGGCGAGUGGAAUUCCUGGUGUAGCGGUGGAAUGCGCAGAUAUCAGGAGGAACACCGAUGGCGAAGGCAGCUCGCUGGGACGGUACUGACGCUGAGGCGCGAAAGCUAGGGGAGCAAACGGGG
rnacentral:rRNA from 1 species